rnacentral:lncRNA from 1 species
AAAUCGGGCCUCGCAAUUUCGUUAUCAGUGAACACCCCUAAAAAACACCAAAGCAAAAGACAAAGCAAUAAAUAAAAAGGAAACCAAAUAUCUAACCCAGUCAACCGCAACAGCUGGACACUAUAACUCCAUCGUCUCUUCACAUCACUUGUCCUAUCUGUUCAGACAAUAGCCAUUUCCAAGAUAUGUUCCUUACCUGCUAUAUGUUUUGCUUUUAUUUCUCCACGAAGCCUCCUCAAUAAGGGUUCCUCGACCAUCUUCCUUCCGGAGUAGAUCAAUUGUGAUCCGAAACUACUCUCAUCAGGUGCGAUUCUUCUCCCUUUUCUAAAGCUUCUUGUGCAAGUUUAUAGGCACAAACAUUUUCUAAUCUAUGAAUAAAUUGAAAAAUAAUUUCUUGAAAACGAGAUUUUUUUCUUUGAAAAUCCCUAAUAAUCACCCUAAUAACCGAUUUAUCUGGCUUUGCUGUUUGGCAUUUCUUGAUGACUGUUCAUGAAUCCCCCAUGAUUGUUACUGAGAGGAUACCCAUUGAGAUUCCUAACUUAAUGGCCUGUAAACCUGCAUAUGCCUCUGCCGCAAACGGAUAGGAAAUGUCGUUAUGUAGGGUUGUCUUCGAUGCUAGAAUCUCGCCCAUCAGACCUCGAACCACAGACCCGAAGCCGAUUUGGAAUUUUUUUGUCAAAAGCUGCAUCAAACUGAAUCGUCACCCUCGUGCUCCCUUCUCGUUUUCUGUGGCUUCUAUCCUCAUUUGAGGUAGUCUUCCUUUCUCCCAAACCAUAUAAUUCUGCCAUAUACAUAUGUAUUCUCUGUGAUAAUUCCCUUCCCAUCGUGUUCUUUCCCUCAUGUACUAGCUGAUUCCUUGAACUCCAGAUUGACCAUAAAGCACAGCAAAAAAGUCGGCACUGUUUACAAGAACCCCUCUUGAAAACCUAGAUAAGCCACUCCCAAAAGUUUUGAUUCGUAUUAUUUAUGACCCAAUAGAGGUUUAAAUAAAUAAAUGGGGUAAGCUAUAUAGCUUAGUAAGUUGGUAUGUAAAUAAUAAAUAAUUUGUUAACAUGCUUUUACCAAUCUUCACAAUAUGUUCUCAAUAUAAUACAAUUAUAAUUGCACAUAGUUCCAAUAUUUAUUCAUGUUCACGUCAAGUUGUCUACUCGAGUCAUAGUCACUGAAUUAUUUAUGUCUUGUGCUACGAAACUCAAAAUUAAGAUCCGCUUAUUUUUCUAAAACUAGACUCACAUAUCUUGUUAUCAUAAAAUUUUAAAAAAUUUUGGUUUUGCCAAUAAGUACAGUUAAUUCUUCAAAGUCGUCUUUGUUCUGCUGUUUGACAGUUCUGGCCUUUCUUCUCUAAAAAUUAAUUAUCUCUUAGUACGGAAUUCAGAUGAUGUUUCCGUUUAUUUAUCUUGAAAAUAGACUCAUUAAUAAUUCUAAUCAUAUAAAUUCUAACCCAUAAUUAUUUUUAUACAAAUUUUAAUGAUUUUCCAAAGUCAGAAUAGGAGAUUCCGAAAUUAUUCUAACCUUAUCUCACAAAAAUUUAAAUAUCUCAUAAUAUGAGAUUCUUUUGCUUACAUCGUUUCUUCUACGUGAAAUUAG